GACAGAGGGUGCUAGCGUUGUUCGGAAUGACUGGGCGUAAAGGGCGCGUAGGCGGUUUUUCAAGUCAGAUGUGAAAGCCCCGGGCUUAACCUGGGAACUGCAUUUGAUACUGUUGGACUGGAGUACGGGAGAGGAAAGCGGAAUUCCUAGUGUAGAGGUGAAAUUCGUAGAUAUUAGGAGGAACACCAGAGGCGAAGGCGGCUUUCUGGCCCGUAACUGACGCUGAGGCGCGAAAGCGUGGGGAGCAAACAGG
rnacentral:rRNA from 1 species